rnacentral:rRNA from 1 species
CAGCCGCCGCGGGAAUACAGAGGGUGCGAGCGUUAAUCGGAUUUACUGGGCGUAAAGCGUGCGUAGGCGGCUUCUUAAGUCGGAUGUGAAAUCCCUGAGCUUAACUUAGGAAUUGCAUUCGAUACUGGGAAGCUAGAGUAUGGGAGAGGAUGGUAGAAUUCCAGGUGUAGCGGUGAAAUGCGUAGAGAUCUGGAGGAAUACCGGUGGCGAAGGCGGCCCCCUGGACAAAGACUGACGCUCAGGUGCGAAAGCGUGGGGAGCAAACAGGAUUAGAGACCCCCGUAGUCCCUGUCUCUUAUAA